UAUAAAGAGUCCUGCCUGCCCAGUGAAUUUAAAUAGUAUUUAAUUUAAACGGCCGCAGUAUUCUGACUGUGCUAAGGUAGCAUAAUCCAAUGUUUCUUAAUUGGGAACUAGUAUGAAUGGCAAGACGAGGGUAGUACUGUCUCUUUCUAUAUUAUAUAAAAAUUGUUAUUGAAGUAAAAAAACUUUGAUUUUUUCAAAAGACGAAAAGACCCUGUAGAGUUUAAAAUUAAUUUUAAUUUUUUUUGUAGAAAAUAUAGUAAUUAAAAUAUAUUUUUUGUUGGGGCAACAAAGGAGUAUAAAAAAUCUCUUUAAAUAAAAUAAAUUGGUGAAUUUUUUGAUCUAUUAUAUGAAUUGGAGAAAAAGUUACCUCAGGGAUAACAGCGUAAUUUUUCUGGAGAGUACUAAUUGAAGGAAAAGAUUGCGACCUCGAUGUUGGAUUGAAAAUACUUUUAUAGUGCAGCAGCUUAAAAAGUGGGUCUGUUCGACCUAUAAUAUUUC
rnacentral:rRNA from 2 species